GGACGAAACUCUGGAGAGACUCUAUUGAGCGCCGAAGGGGAAAGCUUUGUUCCAGCGAAACUCUCAGGUAAAAGGACAGAGAUUUUAUA
rfam:Clostridium tyrobutyricum DIVETGP, WGS project CBXI01000000 data, contig: NODE_33